GACGAACGCUGGCGGCGUGCUUAACACAUGCAAGUCGAACGGUGAAGCUCCAGCUUGCUGGAGUGGAUCAGUGGCGAACGGGUGAGUAACACGUGAGCAACCUGCCCCUGACUCUGGAAUAAGCGCUGGAAACGGCGUCUAAUACUGGAUACGAGAAGGGUCCGCAUGGGCACUUUCUGGAAAGUUUUUCGGUUGGGGAUGGGCUCGCGGCCUAUCAGCUUGUUGGUGAGGUAAUGGCUCACCAAGGCGACGACGGGUAGCCGGCCUGAGAGGGCGACCGGCCACACUGGGACUGAGACACGGCCCAGACUCCUACGGGAGGCAGCAGUGGGGAAUAUUGCACAAUGGGCGAAAGCCUGAUGCAGCGACGCCGCGUGAGGGAUGACGGCCCUCGGGUUGUAAACCUCUUUCAGCAGGGAAGAAGCGAAAGUGACGGUACCUGCAGAAGAAGCACCGGCUAACUACGUG
rnacentral:rRNA from 1 species